AUUUCACCUCUAGCAGAACAAUACGAAUGCCCCCGGCCGUCCCUCUUAAUCAUGGCCCCAGUUGAGAGAGAGAAAACCCACAAAAUAGAACCGGACGCAUGAUCACCCCAGCUAUGGAAUAA